AUGGAACAAAGGAAUGUGAAUAUUAUUGUUAUUUAUAGAGAUUCAGUUAUUCAUGGUGAAGAAACGUAUUUUACUCAAGUGGAACAAUUAUCUUCGUUUAAUGAAAUCGAUACGAUAGCUACGAUUCAAAUAUAAUUUAAUUUGAAUUAUAAUCGAAUUCUUUAUAUUCAAUAUCAAGAAGUUGUCUUUAAUUUCCAUGGGCUAUAUACAUAAUGUUUUUUUCAAUUUUUGCAACUAAGUUCAAAUUUAUAUGCCACCAGUUUGACGUAGAAAUUAGAAAAUGCGAAUUUUUCCUUGUUCGUAUAAUAAAAAGAAUUGAAAAAUGCCAUAAGAGCAAACCAGAAAUUGGAAGAAAUCAACGGAGCCCCAAGAAAAGAAAUUGUAAUGAUAAAUACCGAGAAAAGGGGAUUACAAUCCAUUAUAUAUGCUAUUAAAGAGCAGGUAACUCAUUUCAAAAAUAAAUCUAAGGAAGUUGAUGUGUUGUUAAAUGAAAUUCUCAAAUUGAGGAAUAAGGUAACAGACUUUGAAAAUAUAUAGGUGGUUAUAAACGGAUGUAUAGAUCAAGUAAAUGAUAUUUUGAGGGAAGAACACAAUAUUGAGUCUUUGGCCUUGUUAACUGAAAGAAAAGCCAAACAUCUAGAUUACAGCUUGUUGAGUGUCAGAAUGCGGACAUGAGAGACGAAAUUUCAAGCUCCAAUGAACAUCAUCCAGUUGAUCUACCAAUCCGUCAUCAAGUAAAAACUAUUCAAUAUUUAAAUUGAAUAAAAAUAUUACGGUCGAUAAGCAGAAAGUGUCUACUUCUGAGAAAGCUCACAACGGUUCUGGGGUAUGUCACGGAGGAUAUCCAGACUCCCAAGGGAAAAACAAAAAAUAGUGAAGAGGAUGAAUAAAUUUUCGUUAUCGACUGCUAAAUUUAAAAAGUUCGUCCAGCAGAUCUAAUAAUGCAUAAUCAAGUAAAAAUAUAAGAAUUUUCACUGUUCUUAUUUAAUUAUAAAUUAAAGUGAAGUUCACGAUUCCUUCUCGAAUCCAAAUAAACACCAAAUAUUUCUGUCUUAUAAAAGUUUUAUUAAAAGUUACUUUCUCAAAGUAACAGUUGACAAGACCAAAGUUGUGUUCUACCCUCAAAAUAUCAUUUACUUGAUCUCUAGAUCCGUUUAUAACUAUAUUCUCAAUGUCUGUUAUCUUAUUCCUCAAUUUGAGAAUUUCAUUAAACAACACAUCAACUUCCUUAGAUUUAUUUUUGAAAUGAGUUACCUGCUCUUUAAUACCAUAUAUAAUGGAUUGUAAUCCCAUUUUCUCGGUAUUUAUCAUUACAAUUUCUUUUCUUGAGGCUCCGUUAAUUUCUUCCAAUUUCUGGUUUGCUCUUAUCGCAUUUUUCAAUUUUUUUUCUCAUACAAACAAAGAAAAAUUCGCAUUUUCUAAUUUGUACGUUAAACUGGUGGCAUCUAAAUUUGAACUUUUGUUGCGAAAAUUGAAAACACUUUUGGUGUAAAAAAAUAAAAAACUCGAUUAGAAUUCAAAUUAAAUUGUAACAUUCCUAUUGAAUUGAAUAAUAUUGAUAAUGGAAAAUGUGUUUGCAUUGUGUAAAAUAAAUUUUUUCGCCGUGAAUAAAUAAAUCUUUACAAAUAAUUGAAGUAAUAUUCAUACCGCCCUUUUAAAGUGCAAGUACCUUGUCGCAGUUUUAGGGCUUGAGCUCUCAGAGAUUCUCUCUGUGAGGGACUAAA